UACGAAGGGGGCUAGCGUUGUUCGGAAUCACUGGGCGUAAAGGGCGCGUAGGCGGCUAGAUAAGUCGGGGGUGAAAGCCUGUGGCUCAACCACAGAAUUGCCUUCGAUACUGUCUGGCUUGAGACCGGAAGAGGUUAGUGGAACUGCGAGUGUAGAGGUGAAAUUCGUAGAUAUUCGCAAGAACACCAGUGGCGAAGGCGGCUGACUGGUCCGGUUCUGACGCUGAGGCGCGAAGGCGUGGGGAGCGAACGGG
rnacentral:rRNA from 1 species